CAGUAGCCGCGGUAAUACGUAUGUCACAAGCGUUAUCCGGAUUUAUUGGGCGUAAAGCGCGUCUAGGUGGUUAUGUAAGUCUGAUGUGAAAAUGCAGGGCUCAACUCUGUAUUGCGUUGGAAACUGUGUAACUAGAGUACUGGAGAGGUAAGCGGAACUACAAGUGUAGAGGUGAAAUUCGUAGAUAUUUGUAGGAAUGCCGAUGGGGAAGCCAGCUUACUGGACAGAUACUGACGCUAAAGCGCGAAAGCGUGGGUAGCAAACAGGAUUAGAUACCCCGGUAGUCCCUGUCUCUUAUACC
rnacentral:rRNA from 1 species